UGUGGUGGCCCUACCCUCUUGUCAAUGCCUCUCAGAUCUCAGAAGCUAAGCAAGUCUGGGCCUGGUAAGUGCUUGGAUGGGAGACUGCUGAGAACACCAGACCAACAGAG
rnacentral:rRNA from 1 species